GGAAUUUUAAUUAAGGAUGCUAAUUAGUUGAGCCAAAGGGGACUUUUAAUUGUUGGACUUCACUAUUUUAACAGUUGGACCUUGGAAGUCAGCCUCAGAAGGAGGAAGUGACUAAGAGGACAGACAUGGUGGCUAGCUUUAGGAAUGUAAUUUGGUUUUAGGAAGAAAGGGGAAGGGCAAGGCCUGCUAGAGUCAUGUUUGCCUGCUGGAGUCCCUUCAGUAUCUCUGAGUUGAGGCCAGCCUGGUCUACAGAGUGAGUUCUGGGAUAACAGAGAAUCCAAACCAACCAACCAACAAACUAUCUAUCUAUCUAUCUAUUCUUCAAGACAGGGUUUCUUUAUGUAGCCCUGGCUGUCCUGGAACUCACUCUGUAGACCAGGCUGGUCUCAAACUCAGAAAUCCUCCUGUCUCUGCCUCCCAAGUCCUGGGAUUAAGGGUGUGCUCCACCACCUAACAGCUACCUGAGUUCAAUUCUGGCCACCUACAUCAGACUGUUUAUAACCACCUGUAACCUUAGCUCCA
rnacentral:lncRNA from 1 species